UACGUAGGGGGCUAGCGUUGUCCGGAAUCAUUGGGCGUAAAGCGCGUGUAGGCGGUCCGGUAAGUCCGCUGUGAAAGUCGGGGGCUCAACCCUCGGAUGCCGGUGGAUACUGUCGGGCUUGAGUACGGAAGAGGCGAGUGGAAUUCCUGGUGUAGCGGUGAAAUGCGCAGAUAUCAGGAGGAACACCAAUUGCGAAGGCAGCUCGCUGGGACGUUACUGACGCUGAGACGCGAAAGCGUGGGGAGUAAACAGG
rnacentral:rRNA from 1 species